UCCCGUUUAAUUCAGUGGCAGAGAACUGGUACACCCGGGAGACAUCGGUUCGAUUCCGAUAGCGGGAGCCA
rnacentral:tRNA from 1 species